AUUGGCCAUUGUCGUCUUACCUACUCCACCUAUGCCACAGAUCACAAUUAUGCUGACUUUUUUGUCCUUUACAACAUCCAUGAUUUCCUUUUUAAUUGAUAUCCUUGUUUCGAAAGCUCCAAAGUCACGGGUGUUUGAAAAGGUAUUUGCACCAGUUGUUUGCGUUUUGCCACAUUUUGAAAUAAUUUACCUUCCUUUCGGAGCUUAGCAACCUCAGUCGUCUUCUCUAUGGCUUUCCAGCCAAGCGAGUAACAAGUCUUCAAUUUUGGAUAUAUAAAGAACAGACACUGCAUUUCAGAAUUUGUCUCACUUUCCAAAACUUCAUAUGCCCGUUUCUUGAAGCCAUCAACCUUUUUCAAUCAAUCUAUAACACUGGGUUCAAUAGUUUCUGUAUUUCUUCCUGCUUCAACAACCAAUUUUUGCACUUCAUUUUCCAUAAUUCCAAGACAUUUUACCUCAUACCUCAAAGUUUCAAUUUUUCUAUUGUAGCAUAACAUAUUCUCGAAUUGGCACCAAAUUGGGUUCAUUGCAAACUUCACGAGGUUCUUAACAAUGAAAAAGAGAAUGCUUUCUGCCAUUAUCAAUUUUCCAGUUCAAACAGCAGUCUCAAAGGAGCCUAUCAGCAUAAAAAAUUAAAAAUUUAAAAAUAAAUACAUUGAAGGGUCUUAGGAUUACAUUCCACCACAAUUUUUAGUAAACUUUAACAAAUCAAUAGCAAAAGAAAAAAGAAUUAUUCCCCAGUAAAUGAUCGAUCCUAUGUGCAAAA
rnacentral:lncRNA from 1 species